rnacentral:rRNA from 1 species
UUAACCGUAUAGGGGAGCCGGAGGGAAACCGAGUCUUAACUGGGCGUUAAGUUGCAGGGUAUAGACCCGAAACCCGGUGAUCUAGCCAUGGGCAGGUUGAAGGUUGGGUAACACUAACUGGAGGACCGAACCGACUAAUGUUGAAAAAUUAGCGGAUGACUUGUGGCUGGGGGUGAAAGGCCAAUCAAACCGGGAGAUAGCUGGUUCUCCCCGAAAGCUAUUUAGGUAGCGCCUCGUGAACUCAUCUUCGGGGGUAGAGCACUGUUUCGGCUAGGGGGUCAUCCCGACUUACCAACCCGAUGCAAACUGCGAAUACCGAAGAAUGUUAUCACGGGAGACACACGGCGGGUGCUAACGUCCGUCGUGAAGAGGGAAACAACCCAGACCGCCAGCUAAGGUCCCAAAGUCAUGGUUAAGUGGGAAACGAUGUGGGAAGGCCCAGACAGCCAGGAUGUUGGCUUAGAAGCAGCCAUCAUUUAAAGAAAGCGUAAUAGCUCACUGGUCGAGUCGGCCUGCGCGGAAGAUGUAACGGGGCUAAACCAUGCACCGAAGCUGCGGCAGCGACGCUGAUGCGUUGUUGGGUAGGGGAGCGUUCUGUAAGCCUGUGAAGGUGGCCUGUGAGGGUUGCUGGAGGUAUCAGAAGUGCGAAUGCUGACAUAAGUAACGAUAAAGCGGGUGAAAAGCCCGCUCGCCGGAAGACCAAGGGUUCCUGUCCAACGUUAAUCGGGGCAGGGUGAGUCGACCCCUAAGGCGAGGCCGAAAGGCGUAGUCGAUGGGAAACGGGUUAAUAUUCCCGUACUUGGUGUUACUGCGAAGGGGGGACGGAGAAGGCUAUGUUGGCCGGGCGACGGUUGUCCCGGUUUAAGCGUGUAGGCUGGUUUUCCAGGCAAAUCCGGAAAAUCAAGGCUGAGGCGUGAUGACGAGGCACUACGGUGCUGAAGCAACAAAUGCCCUGCUUCCAGGAAAAGCCUCUAAGCAUCAGGUAACAUCAAAUCGUACCCCAAACCGACACAGGUGGUCAGGUAGAGAAUACCAAGGCGCUUGAGAGAACUCGGGUGAAGGAACUAGGCAAAAUGGUGCCGUAACUUCGGGAGAAGGCACGCUGACACGUAGGUGAAGUGAUUUACUCAUGGAGCUGAAGUCAGUCGAAG